AUUGAACGCUGGCGGCAGGCCUAACACAUGCAAGUCGAGCGGAGCGGCGGACGGGGGAGUAAUGCCUAUGUAUCUACCUGGUCGUGGGGGAUAACGUCAGGAAACGGGCGCUAAUGACGCAUACUAUCAGCUGAGACUUGGCCGGAUUGGCUAGCGGGGGGGGUAAAGGCCUACCAUGGCGACGAUCCAUAGCUGGUCUGAGUGUAUGAUCAGUCACACUGGAACUGAGACACGGUCCAGAUGCCGACGGGAGGCAGCAGUGGGGAAUAUUGGACAAUGGGCGAAAGCCUGAUGCAGCCAUGCAGCGUGUGUGAAGAAGGUCUUCGGAUUGUAAAGCACUGUAAGUUGGGAGGCGGUACCAACAGAAUAAGCACCGGCUAACUGCGUGCCAGCAGCCGCGGUAAUAC
rnacentral:rRNA from 1 species